UACGUAGGGUGCAAGCGUUAAUCGGAAUUAGUGGGCGUAAAGCGUGCGCAGGCGGUUUUGUAAGUCUGACGUGAAAUCCCCGGGCUCAACCUGGGAAUUGCGGUGGAGACUGCAAGGCUAGAAUCUGGCAGAGGGGGGUAGAAUUCCACGUGUAGCAGUGAAAUGCGUAGAGAUGUGGAGGAACACCGAUGGCGAAGGCAGCCCCCUGGGUCAAGAUUGACGCUCAUGCACGAAAGCGUGGGGAGCAAACAGG
rnacentral:rRNA from 1 species